rnacentral:misc_RNA from 1 species
CUUUUAAAUGAUUUCCAGUAAGCUUUAGUUCUUCCAUCGUGUGCACAGCAUUAACUAAAAAUUUCACUGAUGGACCACCAGGGCACUUGGCCAUCCAUAAAUACAGAUCUUUAUGUUUCCUGCACUCGAAGAAUAAGCAAGAAGAGCAGCUCUUCAGCUCAACAAGCUCAUUAAGAGCCAUGCCUUUACUACUUUUGGAUUCAACCUUAUUAUCCUUCUUACAAUGAGGUAAGAGAGACACCACAUUCAACAUCAAGUGCCGAUAUCUGCAAUUGAUGCGACGAGAGCAAGUGACCAAAACCUUCUCUUUGCUCCUAAAACCAUGAGGCUCAGUUUCUUUCACUUCAGCUUCAUCUUUCCAUCCAAGGAGUGUGCGCUGAGGCCGCUCUAGAGCACUUUCUUCUUUCUUUGGUCCCGAAACCUCAGUUUCACUAUGCUUUCGCUUCUUCCCCAUGCGUAUGCUAAGUGAUAUCUGUUUGCUGCGUCUAGAAGGGAAGAGAGCGACAGAGAGGGGUUUUCCGCGGCGGGUUGCUUGCAGAGGCUGUGUGAAUUAGGGCGCCAUUCCAAUAGAUUUUUC